UGGGGAAUAUUGCACAAUGGGCGCAAGCCUGAUGCAGCCAUGCCGCGUGUGUGAAGAAGGCCUUCGGGUUGUAAAGCACUUUCAGCGGGGAGGAAGGCGUUAAGGUUAAUAACCUUGGCGAUUGACGUUACCCGCAGAAGAAGCACCGGCUAACUCCGUGCCAGCAGCCGCGGUAAUACGGAGGGUGCAAGCGUUAAUCGGAAUUACUGGGCGUAAAGCGCACGCAGGCGGUCUGUCAAGUCGGAUGUGAAAUCCCCGGGCUCAACCUGGGAACUGCAUUCGAAACUGGCAGGCUAGAGUCUUGUAGAGGGGGGUAGAAUUCCAGGUGCAGCGGUGAAAUGCGUAGAGAUCUGGAGGAAUACCGGUGGCGAAGGCGGCCCCCUGGACAAAGACUGACGCUCAGGUGCGAAAGCGUGGGGAGCAAACAGG
rnacentral:rRNA from 1 species